rnacentral:rRNA from 1 species
GAUGAACGCUGGCGGCGUGCCUAAUACAUGCAAGUCGAGCGAACAGACGAGGAGCUUGCUCCUCUGACGUUAGCGGCGGACGGGUGAGUAACACGUGGAUAACCUACCUAUAAGGCUGGGAUAACUUCGGGAAACCGGAGCUAAUACCGGAUAACAUGUUGAACCGCAUGGUUCAACAGUGAAAGACGGUCUUGCUGUCACUUAUAGAUGGAUCCGCGCCGCAUUAGCUAGUUGGUAAGGUAACGGCCUACCAAGGCAACGAUGCGUAGCCGACCUGAGAGGGUGAUCGGCCACACUGGAACUGAGACACGGUCCAGACUCCUACGGGAGGCAGCAGUAGGGAAUCUUCCGCAAUGGGCGAAAGCCUGACGGAGCAACGCCGCGUGAGUGAUGAAGGUCUUCGGAUCGUAAAACUCUGUUAUUAGGGAAGAACAAAUGUGUAAGUAACUAUGCACGUCUUGACGGUACCUAAUCAGAAAGCCACGGCUAACUACGUG